CACAACACUGGAACAGGAUAUCUUUAGAGGUUCUGGAAUCUCCGUCCUCAGCGGUUUCUAAGAACAGGGUUGAUUUUGAUUGUGCUGCCUCUGAACUGCCCAUGCCUGCCACUGUGGAUGAGCAAGGCUCUGUGCCACCCAGCCAUGGAUCUGCAUUUCUCACACGCCCCUCUCGCUCUGACCUGGUGUAACUAAUCCCGGAGCUGCGUGCGUACAAACACCGCCAUCAUCGGCCAAAGCACGUCCGUGCAGCACCAAGGGAAGGGCAUCCUGGACUGGGUUCUGCUGGGAGAGACUCUCUGUCAGUAAUGAGCAGCGCUAAGGCUUAUCUUGCUCUCUGGGGGCCUUUGCCAACACCUGCGUAGGCUUCAAGGACGCUGAUGUGUGUAGAUGCCAGCCAGCCAGCGGCGUACGGUGAGCAUUCCCGCUGCAGCUGCUAAAUAAAGCCGCUUCCCGUCAAUCAGCAGAACCACCUCCGCUCCUCUGCACAACCCAGGCUGAUCGUGUCUCUCUCCCCCCGACCACAUGGAUUGUCCUCCUGGAAAGGGGCCAUCAUAUGUGAGAGCCACGCUUCUGUAACACAUAGCCACCUGGUCCUCACAUGCGCCUAUCGCUUAGUGAUCGCUCCCUGCCUCUCAGCAAAGAUUUAAGAGCAGAGCCUCUCUACUGAAGAUUCAUAUUACUAGAAACAACUAGCUCUUACACAGCCCUUGUCAGCUUCAGCUUUCCAAGCAAGAUUCCACACUUAAUUCAGCAGGUGCUUCUGCUUCAUGCUCUUAUGGUAACAUCGGCUCUGCAGAACUGCACUGCGUGCUUCCAGCGACGCAAAGGUGUAAACAGCAAUUUGCCGCCCACUCUGCUUUCAAGUCUCUGCUAUGGAAGUUGCCCUUAAUUCCUCCUCACUGAUGCAGUAAGAACUAACAGUCACCAACACUGGUGUAAAGCUAGACUCAGGGAGAGGAGAAUCAGGCCUUCUUUUCUUCUGUGGUGGCCCCAAGAAAUGAAUGCAAGGAGCCAGCUCCUCAGCAGCUGUAAAUGAGCAUCUCUCUGUGAAAGUCGGUGGAGUUAUGCUGAUUGAUACCAGCUGAGGAUCCAGUAAUUAUAUAUAAUCAGCGCUAACCUUUCCUCAGUUCUGAUCUUCCCGAAGCAUCCAGCCUCCCUCUUUACUUCCAGCUCUGUGGAGCAGGGAUGCUCCUCAUUCUGCAUCUUGCACAGCUCUGAGCACAAAGGGCCAGAUCCUCAGCUGGUAAAAAUAAGGAUGGCUUCAUGGAAAUCAAUGGCCUACACUGAUUUUCCCCAGCUGGAAACCUGGCCCCCAGUGUGCACUUAACAAAUCAUGACUAAUUGGGGUAAAUGGCAACGUGUGCACUCACAGGCCCAUCUUGCGAGCCCUCGGGAUGUUCCUCCGGCAGAGGAAUGCCAUAACCCAGGCUAUUGUAGGGUCACUAGCACAGUAGGGGCAGUGAGAGAGGAAGAUCUGGCAGCACACUUAAUUAAAAGGCCUGAUGAAGGAUAACACCCUGGAUGUAAGAAAUGUUGCCCUAGUGGGAGCUCUAACAAUUGCGAAAUCAGAAGCAACGUGAAACUCACCUGAUUUGGCGACAGGGCCAAAUCUGCAGCUGGGGUAAGUCAGCGUAACUCCAUUGACUUCAACAGAGCUAUUCUGACCGACACCAACCAAGGGUCUGGGCCCAAGCUUGUGUGUGAGAUUGAGGCAGACCUAAGCUGAUUAAUAACCCUGGGAAAUCAUGCAGUGCUCAGUGGCUUUUGCUGGAUUUGGGGGGCUUAUUUCAGCGCCUGCUGAAAUUAGGGCUGCAAACUGAAAGAGGAUAUUUUCCACAAACCUUCCUGAAAAGCGAAGCCCCAUCUCUCGGGCCUGUUGCUCGCCAGUGCUGAGUGCUGCUGGAGUCUCUCUCUUAGCGGCCUCAGGAAUAUGUGCUGCUCUGAUUAGGGAUCUCCCCGAGCCAGAACACUGCUGGCCAGCCUGGCUGCUGUGAUC